AUGGAGAAGCUGCUGUCCUCGGCGGUGGCGUCUCACGAUCACGAGACGGUCCCGGGGCGGUUCCCGUUCCUCCUACCGCCGGCGCCACCCGUGCCCGUGUCGCUGCCCGUCAUCGACCUCUCGGGCGGCCGCGACGAGGUCCGCCGGGCCGUGCUCCGCGCCGGCAAGGAGUUCGGCUUCUUCCAGGUGGUCAACCACGGGGUGCCGGAGCGGACCAUGCGUGAACUGGGGACGGCGUGCGGCGAGUUCUUCCGCCUUCCCGCGGCGGACAAGGCGGCCUUGUACUCGGAGUCGGAGGACACGGAGCGAACCAACCGGCUCUUCUCCAGUACCAUGUGCGUGUCCGGCGGCCAGACCUACUGGCGCCACUGUCUCCGCCUCGCCUGCCACCCCGUGGAGAGCACCAAGCCCGGCUGGCCCGAGAAGCCGGCCGCUUUCCGGCCCGCCCUCGAGGACUUCAUCGUCCCGGCCCGCAGCGUCGGCAUGGAGCUCCUCCGCCUCCUCUGCGAGGGGAUCGGGCUCCCGCCGGACUACUUCGAGGGCGACCUGAGCGGCGGCGAGGUGAUCCUCAACGCCAACCACUACCCGGCGUGCCCCGACCCGGGCGUCACCCUCGGCCUGCCGCCGCACUGCGACAGGAACCUCAUCACCGUGCUGCUCCAGCCCGGGUACGUGUGCGGCCUCCAGGUGUCGUACAACGGCGGGUGGAUCGACGUCGAGCCCAUCCCGGAGGCGCUCGUCAUCAACUGCGGCCAGCAGCUGGAGAUCGCCACCAACGGGCUGCUCCGGAGCGUGGAGCACCGGGCCGUGGCCAACGUCGCCGUGGGGAGGACGUCGGUGGCGGCCUUCAUCAUGCCAACCAUGGACUGCGUGGUGGGGCCCGCCAAGGAGCUCGUCGGAGAGGGCAGCCCGGCGAGGUACGGGAGCGUCGCGUUCCGCGACUUCAUGCGCAGCUACAAGCUCUGA
rnacentral:rRNA from 1 species